GGGGUAAAGACAUGAUAGACAGAAAAACAUUCAGGUUAUGUUAAAAAGCAAAAAAUAAGAUCAAAAUGUUUCUACAUCAAACUAAAACUAACACAUACAGUAACUAACUGAAAGUAUAACUAGGAUAAAAACUAACUGAAACUAACUAACUGUUAGCAUGAAGCUAACCAAACUAAAACUAGCCUGAAACUAGAACUAAAAGUAAAGUAAAUGACACAAAAACUAUCAGGUAUCUGGUAUGAAACUAACUAGGACUAAAAUAAAACCACCAUAAACUAACUGAAACCAGGACUAAACUAGCAUGAAGGAACUGGACCCAAACCUAGCAUUAAACUAAUAAAAAUGUAAACUAGCAUGAAGGUAACAGAAAGUAAAACUAGCAAGAAGCUAAUUAAAACUAAACCUAGCAUGAAACUAAAAUUAACAUUAACCCCAAAGACAUGGCUGAAAGAAUAAAUAGGAUAAAACAAACUGAAACAAACUAGCAUGAGGCUAACCAAACUAAAAAUAGCAAGAAACCAACUAAAACUAAACCUAGCAUUAAAGUAAAACUAGCAUAAAGCCAACUACGACUAAACCCGAGCAUGAAACUACAACCAGCAUGAAGGAAUGUUCCCGUUUUUUCGGAGAUUGAAGAGCUGAUCACCUUUCCGGUCCAGGAGGGAGCAAAGGGUUUGUUUACAGAAGCCUUUGAAGUUUUAUUUCCCCCCGCCGCCGCCACCUCCCCCCUGUUGGCUCUCUGCAUUCCCUGACAACGUGAUGCAGGUAGAAGAUGAGCAGUCGCAGCACCACAGAGGAGACUGCCGCGCAGGUGAAGUCAAAAAAUAUUCAUUUCAAAUUGGAUUUUCCCCUCCGUUCACUAUCUGCUGAAUUGUAUUAAUACACGGGGCUCAAAGCGGCGUGCAUUCAGGGAGGGGCCGGCGGCCGUGCGCCGGAAAAACUAUUGAGAGAGUUAGAGAGGAACCGAGCGUAUAUCAAAUCAAUUCCA